GACGGAGGGAGCAAGCGUUGUCCGGAUUUACUGGGCGUAAAGCGCGCGUAGGCGGCCUGCUAAGUCGGCGGUGAAAUCGCUGGGCUCAACUCAGCAACUGCCGUUGAUACUGACAGGCUCGAGUCCGGGAGAGGGAAGCGGAAUUCCUGGUGUAGCGGUGGAAUGCGUAGAUAUCAGGAAGAACACCGGUGGCGAAGGCGGCUUCCUGGACCGGUACUGACGCUGAGGUGCGAAAGCUAGGGGAGCGAACGGG
rnacentral:rRNA from 1 species